GAUGAACGCUAGCGACAGGCUUAACACAUGCAAGUCGAGGGGCAGCGAGAAAGUGCUUGCACUUUUGUCGGCGACCGGCGCACGGGUGAGUAACACGUAUGCAACCUGCCCUUGUCCGGGGGAUAAGCGGGGGAAACCCCGUCUAAUACCGCAUAUAUGGUUUGGAGGCAUCUCUAAAUCAGGAAAGAAUUAUCGGACAAGGAUGGGCAUGCGGGACAUUAGGUAGUUGGGGGUGUAACGGACCACCAAGCCGACGAUGUCUAGGGGUUCUGAGAGGAAGGUCCCCCACACUGGUACUGAGACACGGACCAGACUCCUACGGGAGGCAGCAGUGAGGAAUAUUGGUCAAUGGGCGAGAGCCUGAACCAGCCAAGUCGCGUGAGGGAUGACGGUACUAAGUAUUGUAAACCUCUUUUGUCAGGGAACAAAGAGACCACGUGUGGUAAGAUGAGUGUACCUGAAGAAAAAGCAUCGGCUAACUCCGUGCCAGCAGCCGCAGUAACAC
rnacentral:rRNA from 1 species